rnacentral:rRNA from 1 species
UACGAAGGGGGCGAGCGUUGUUCGGAAUUACUGGGCGUAAAGGGCGCGUAGGCGGCCCGCUAAGUCGAACGUGAAAUCCCCAGGCUCAACCUGGGAACUGCGUCCGAUACUGGCAGGCUUGAAUCCGGGAGAGGGAUGUGGAAUUCCAGGUGUAGCGGUGAAAUGCGUAGAUAUCUGGAGGAACACCGGUGGCGAAGGCGGGUCUCUGGGCCGAUACUGACGCUGAGGAGCGAAAGCGUGGGGAGCGAACAGG